rnacentral:rRNA from 1 species
GGUGAACGCUGGCGGCGUGCCUAAUACAUGCAAGUCGAGCGAACGGACGAGAAGCUUGCUUCUCUGAUGUUAGCGGCGGACGGGUGAGUAACACGUGGAUAACCUACCUAUAAGACUGGGAUAACUUCGGGAAACCGGAGCUAAUACCGGAUAUUAUUUUGAACCGCAUGGUUCAAAAGUGAAAGACGGUCUUGCUGUCACUUAUAGAUGGAUCCGCGCUGCAUUAGCUAGUUGGUAAGGUAACGGCUUACCAAGGCAACGAUGCAUAGCCGACCUGAGAGGGUGAUCGGCCACACUGGAACUGAGACACGGUCCAGACUCCUACGGGAGGCAGCAGUAGGGAAUCUUCCGCAAUGGGCGAAAGCCUGACGGAGCAACGCCGCGUGAGUGAUGAAGGUCUUCGGAUCGUAAAACUCUGUUAUUAGGGAAGAACAUAUGCGUAAGUAACUGUGCACAUCUUGACGGUACCUAAUCAGAAAGCCACGGCUAACUACGUG